UUUGUACAGCUCUGCCCAAUAUUCAUCUGACCUCAUGCAACCUUUGUUAGAACACCUGCGGGAACAGGAAGCUCACUACCAACAGAUGAGGAAACUGAGAUCACACAGGCAGAAAAGAGCUGAACUACAGCCUGAUCCUUGGAUCUAUUCCAUGCCCUUCAACUACAUUGCUCUCAGAGAGGGACAGGCCCGCCUGCUGCUCUCCAGAUUGUGAACUGACCAGAGUGGACAGCUAAUUAGAAGCAGUGAUGGAGAUUUCUCAAACUUUGAGGAGAACUGACUACAGGAGAACUGACAGAUGACAGUGAGAAGAAAGAGAAAAGGCACACUAAGUAGAAAAGCAAAAGCACAAAUGGUCACAUUCUACAUGGUAAAAUUGGUUCUGAAGGAAUCAUGACAUCACAGGUCAAUAUAAUAAUUGAUGUUGAUAACUGAGUCAUCACGGGAAGUUAAAUUACAGACGUGUCACUGGGAGCUGAUCACUCAGCUCAUUUACAAAAUGUUUAUUAGCAACCCAGUGUGCACCUGACUCUGUCUAGAUCCUGGGAAUAGAAAGAUGGAUAAAGGAUGGUCCUUACCCUCAAAAGGCUCUCUGGACUUCAGUUUCUCCAGUGAAAAGAUGAGCAAGCCAAAGUGGCUGAUUCCUAAGGGUCUUUCCUAGAAGUUCUGAAUGCUUUCUGCAUUAGGGCUUGAAUCUCAAUGAUCCUAAAAGAUGAUAAUCC